rnacentral:lncRNA from 1 species
AUGUACCGGGCACGUGAAGCCCUGGCCUAUGGCGUGGCCUUCCUAGUUCUGGGUUUAGUGAAGACCUCAAACAUUAAUGUUGGAAGGAUCAUUCAGAACCAUCAAGCGUUUCUUAAGGCGGCUUUGUGGCAUUUGAAGCAAGACUUUUCCUCGUUUUCAGGACUGCCUCAGGAUCCUGGAGGACACCAGCUCCUAAGUAAGCCCAGUCCUGUUUCCUGUCAGCUGCCCUGCACUCUCUGGACCAUGGGGACGCCUGCACGCCUGCAGCUCGCACCUGCACAGGCCAGAGCUCAGGUAUCCACAGGCCAUAUCCUGAAGGAAAAGGCUUCUCACGCUAAAGCACCUUGGAGAGGGAAGGUAGCCAGGACUCAACAGCAGUGCUUUAAGACACACCUCCGGAUGACAAGACCCUCCUGUGCACCAAGCCCCAGGACCUACCUCAGUUGGCACUCACAUUAGCCUAUCAGAAAUCUAUGCCACACAAAGACGAGAUGAAGGAGAAGAAUUUGAGAAGGCGAACCUGGAGCCAGGGACGGGACUGAGAAGAUGAGAUGGAACACUGGUCUCCCUAGGCUGGGGAAGCGGGAGUGGAGCGCAUGGAGCAUGUCACGAAGGAAAACGCCAGCCCCGCACCA